GCUGCCGCUCGCCGCGCCGCCCGCCGCGCACCUGCCGCUCUGAGCGACGGGUCACACUCGGUUCCGCUAGAUGCGCGCGAUUCGACUGCCAGAUGUGUCCCGCACGCGUGGCGAGUCGGGAGCACGAAAUGUAUUCAUAAGAUGUACUAUAAUUACCGAAGUGAUCGAAUUAUUACGCCGGUGCUCAAGCAGCACGCAGCACUGUGUACUUUUGGUUCGCAACAUUAAGUAAGACAACUCGAACCGAUCGCGGUUUAAAAACUAUGCAAUAAGUCCACUAUGUCAUAACAAAGUAUGUAAUGUUACAUAUUAGUUUAUUUAGAGUGCAACAGGAUAUACAUAUAAUACUUAACACGACACGAAUGCUACGAUACGUAUCGUCUUCGACGCCGCGCUGCUGGAAAAUUUCCCAAAUAGUGUAUAAACCUUGAUGUGAAAACAAAUUAUUCAAUUUAUUAAAUACGUCUUCCUUAUUAGCGAAAUAUCAUAAUUGUUGGUGUGUUAAAUUAUCUUAGGAAUACAAGUUGUAUAUCUGAUUGGUGGUGGGGCGGGGGUUUGAUAAGCAAGCCCACCACUGCACAGCUACCACUAUUAAACAAAUCAAAGAAAAUAUUUACAAGAUAACUUGACUUCGGCUUACGGCUUGGUUUAACUCAAGUGCAUACGAUAUUUGUAUCCGCAACACGUCGCGCCAAAUACUACUUUCCCUUAUAAAUAUGAUUCUGUUACUGUAACCCAUUAAGUCAUUUGAAACGAUCAAUGUAUUCCUCUUGUAUAUAGAUUUAACUAUCUUGAAUACAUUAAACAUUUACACUUUAUUUGUAUGACAAUAAGGUC